GAAACCGGGCGAACUACCCAUGAGCAGGAUGAAGCGAAAGUAAAAUUUCGUGGAGGUCCGAACCCACGAGCGUUGAAAAGCUCGGGGAUGACUUGUGGGUAGCGGUGAAAUUCCAAUCGAGCCCGGAGAUAGCUGGUUCUCCCCGAAAUAGCUUUAGGGCUAGCCUCAAGGUGGGAGAUACGGAGGUAGAGCACUGAAUGUCCUAGGGGGUAUUGCACCUACCGAAGACUAUCAAACUCCGAAUGCCGUCAUCUUAUACUUGGGAGUCAGACUGUGGGUGAUAAGAUUCAUAGUCGAAAGGGCAACAGCCCAGAUCGUCAGCUAAGGUCCCUAAAUGUAAGUUAAGUGGUAAAGGAUGUGGGAUUGCACAGACAACCAGGAUGUUGGCUUAGAAGCAGCCACUCAUUCAAAGAGUGCGUAAUAGCUCACUGGUCGAGUGAUCCUGCGCCGAAGAUUUCCGGGGCUAAAAC
rnacentral:rRNA from 1 species